GAUGGCCCAGAGCUUUUCCCAGUGGAAUCACUACUGCCUUUCACAUUAGUUGGUUUGAGAACCUUAGCAAGAGCAAAGGGACUCUCAUCAAGCAAGUCGUGACUUUCCUAGGUGCCUGCCUACUUCUUCCCUGGGUCCAGAAGAGUCAGCAGCAGAUAACGUCCAGCAGAAACAGAUGGUAAGCUUUCAGCCCGCCAAAGUUUAAAAAAGGAUGGUAGCCAACUGGUUGCCCCUCAACCAUAGCCACGUGAUGACAGGUAAGGCAGGUCUCCCUGUGGACUUGAUGCAGGCAUUUAGAGCAAGGAGAUCAAGCCUUUCUGCUUACCAUAGUUCUUACACGGAUCAAAGGAUUUGCUGCCGGAUUUGGCUGGAAGAGUUUUAUUACUCCUCUCCAGAUACUUUUAGUUCUAGGCUGUGGUUCUGUUUCCUUGUAUGAUGAAUAAAGCAUGGCUCCUUUAUUCCCACACUUAGUUUGUGUGGUCCUUAAAUAUCGAUGAGAGGAUGAUAUGUUGAGCCAUGCUGGAUGCCAGUGUAUACAACUGGAAGCUCAGAUACAUGCGUGGUGAGGACUAUAGAAGGACUUGGCAAACAAACAUCUUUUUUUUUUUUUUUUUUUGGCAAAGGCUUGCUUCCUUAUCAAAAUCAUGUUGGCAAGAAGAAUGUGAACUUUCUUCUUACAAACCAUAACGCCUCCUGCAUGUGUCACAACAUACUCUGUGUGCAGUCACUCACAACUAAGCUUAGUGCUUUCAUGACUUGAAGGGAAUUGCUGGCUUCCUUUUAUUGAAGACUAACAUUUGUAGCUGUGGGAUACGGCACAUGUUGCAUCAGAGGAGUUGCGGUAUUUUUCCUUUCAUCUUUUGCGUGUCAUAGAUAUGUCCAACUCUGAGAGAUGACAGCAUUCCUCAAAAGGAAAUAAUCAGAUAAUUCAGCCACUUUUCUGUUCACGAUAGAAGCCAAUGGAAAAUGAGAAUGAAAGUUAAAAGAGACAAACUGUUGGUUUUAGAUUUGUGACAUCUCUCUUGUUUAUUCAAAUAUAUCCCUAAAAGAAAACUUGGGGUGUGAGGGAGCAGUGCUAAUAGGGAAAAGACAGUUGUUUCAGUGAGGUUCCUGACGGUGUUAAUGUACAAAUGUUUAAUACUUGGUUCUUUUCUUUCAUGAAUAUAUGCUAUGGAUUUACCUUAUUUUCUGAGAUGGUUUGCACAGCCUUAAUGCAGAGUUUUAUCACGGGCUCCAAGGAGGUAAAUCCUGAAAGCUUUUAGUUAUACCUGAGGAAAUGGUCUGACAUAUCUUGUAUGAUCAGCAACUGUCUGUUAGCAGGUAAGUGGUUUGACAUAAUAUGGUAUAUGAAGUUCCUGAUUAUCUUCAAGAGCACAUGGCAUGUAUCUUAGCUGCAUUUAAUUUUUUAUGAUCGUAGAUAAGGGUUCCCUCUGUCUCAUUAUUUCAGAGAUAUGCUCAAUAUGCAUCUUGCUGAGCAGAUACUUGAAAGUGAAAUACAUUAAUUGUCAAUUCACUCUAAGUGUUCCCUUUAAGGUUUCUUCCCUCAGAUUAGAUAUUACACAAAAAAGCUGAUAUUAUUAUUCUGUACAAUCAAACACUUGAGAGAGACCAAAUUUUAAAUUGUCUCUGAAAUCGUGUGCAUGGGCAUUAUGCCAUUCUUGAAAUUCCUCAUGUUGUCUUUUGGGGUUUUUUUCCCCUGUAGAGUCCUGGGCAGGUUUGACUGGGUGUUCAUGAGGGUAACUAGUGACAAGUCCGUGACACCAAAGUUGUGCCAGCCAUAUUUUAAGUCUGUAUGAAAUGCAUAGUGAUACACAUGUUGGUAGACUUCUGCAUCCAUACUGUGUUAGUGUACAGUGGGCUUUAUGGUAGGUCGCUUGAAUGACAGAAAUAUUAGUUACUAAAGCAGAUUUGGCAUGAAAAACUGUAGUCAACAAUGUGAGCUGUGGACGUUACAUGGAGAAUAAAUAGUUGUCAGUUUCUCAAAUGAUACUGUAUUAUUUCAGUCGCCUGAUUUUUGUAAUGAUGUUUGGCUCUAUCUUUAUUAGACGAUGCUGCUGCAAUUUAACCAUUUAUUAUUAUAGUCUGCUCUGAAAGUAGAUUAUCGGAGUUCAUUUGCUUAAGUGAAUUAUACUCCAAGACAAAAUCAUUUAACAUUACUUGGGUGUUUGAGUCCACCCUCUGAAACUGGUAUGCUGCUUUCCUCUCCUGUAAUUGGGCUGUCCAUGAACUGUCAGAUAAAAAGCCAGCGAGCGAGAGAUUAGUUAUUACUGGAAGAAGAUGACUCAAAGCAUUUCAGCAGCAGACAAUGAAAGCUCUGUUUUGUAAUGGCAGUAGAAUAAAGUUGCUUUUAAGGCUCCGAUCUGUUUCAAAUACGAUGUAUGAAAUGUUCUUUUGUGGUGUAGAAACCUAUUCAGGGAGAAGAAUUCAAACUCAGAGGAGCUUUUAAUCAGCUCAGUGUGGGUGCGUUUUACAUUUAAGAGGUUCAAGAGAGCACGUGUGAAACAACUGCUGUCUCGCAUGAGAUUUAUCGUCGUUCAUUGGAUGUGUUGGGGUCCUUGGCGUCCAUGUGCACAGGCACUCUCGGAUCACUCUAUGGCAUUAGUCAAAUCGUAGUGCUACAUGGGAUUUUUUUUAAAGGAGGACUCAAGGUGCUGAAAUGCAGGGGAAAAAAAAAAGUCUGUGAAAUGGUUACCUUAAAAUUUCAUAUCUUGACUGUGGCCUUUUCAUUUACUCUAAAUUAACAUUGGCUUUCCAUGAGAGUUUCAAAAAAGAGCAGAGAUGCUAUUUGUGUGUCAGCCAUGUUGCGCCCCCUUUCUGCUUUCAAACUUCUCCCUUUGCUGCUACAAUCUAAUGUUUUACUUUAAGAAAUCUUUUAUUCCUUUCCGUUACCCCACAGAAAACACCACAUAUGUUGACUGGACUGGAUGUAAAUGCCAGGGUCUGGUUAGCAGGGGCCGGAGCAGUGUCCUGUGGGGAGGAGGCUCUGAACUGCCCUGCGCCGGUUCCAGCCGGUUCGGGAAACCGGUGGGAGCUUCGGCUGCUCAAGGAGCACGUGGGGCCACAGCUCCUCUGCCUGAGGGAAAGCAGCAGCGCGAGGGACCCCAGCUACGGGUGAUCCGUGCAGAGCACAGGAGCAGAAAGAAGUGAAGGCCUUGUGGAGACAAGAAAGAAGCAAGAAGUGGCUGAGAAGCACCAUUACGUGCUGCCCAUGCCCUUGCCCAAGGGGUUGGGAGCGGAACCCGCUGCGGAGGCGAGGGAACCUGAGGCUAGGAAGCAGGGAGGAGAGGUGGCAGACUGAAGCUGAGCCUGGUGAAAUGGGAAGACAGCUUGAGCAUAUGAAGGGACUACUCUCUGGCACUGGCGUUGUGAGAUUCUGUAGAGGAUGGGGGUCAGGACUUCAGGAUUCCUUGUCUAACUCUGCGAGUGAUCCGUACUCUCCAGCAUGAAAAAACAUAUCUGCAAGCAUCCGCUUCAUUGUGUCAUGUCUGGGAUCCUGAUUGCAGCAAAGCUCUGCCCUUAGAAUUGCCUCUCCAGAUGGCGGCUAUGUGAGGUUGGAAAUGCACAAAACAUGGAUGAAGCUCAGCCAGAAGCUUCCUAAGUGCAGACUGAAAAAUUAUUCAGGGAGAAAGAGUCGACCUGGAUUUUGGAAGCUGGAGAAAGGAGUGAGAAUAUGUGAGAGAAACAACCCUGCACACACCAAGGUCAGUGAAGGAGGGGAGGCAGUACUCCAGGUGCUGGAGCAGAGAUUCCCCUGCAGCCCAUGGUAAAGACCAUGGUGAGCCAGGCUGUGCCCCUGCAGCCCAUGGAGGUUAACGAUGGAGCAGAUAUCCACCUGCAGCCUGUGCAGGAGCCCACGCUCGAGCAGGUGGAUGCCUGAAGGAGGCUGUGACUCCUUGGGAAGCCCAUGGAAAGCUUCUGGCAGGACCUGUGGACCCAUGGAGACAGAGGAGCCCACACUGGAGCAGGUUUGCUGGCAGGGCUUGUGACCCCGCAGGGGGCCCACGCAGGAGCAGUUCAGGAAGAACUGCAGCCUGUGGGAAGGACUCACAUUGAAGAAGUUCAUGGAGAACUGUCUCCCGUGGAAGGGACCCCAAACUGGAGCAGCAGAAGACUGUGAGGUAGUGUUUGCCAGAACUUCACGUCCAGGCUGCCCCCCCAAAAGUCGCAACAAAUUAUUGAAAGCAGAAUCAAAUGCAAACCUUCACCGUUUUCAAAUAUAGCUUCACUUAUCUUUUUAGCAGCGUCAUUGCAAGGAUGGUAUUACUUCCUUGAAUCAAAGGAAGGAGGUGAGAAAGUUUUGAAAGGGAGAUGGGAUAUUUUUCAUUAGUGGUGGUGCAGUGUAGUUAUGUAUUUUUCUUUUUCUUCAUGAAGGUGCACUGGAAAUGUGUACAUGAAUGGAUUUAUCUGGAGAUGCACUACUUGAUGCUUGUGAAGUAGUGUUCAAAUUUUGUGUACUUUCUAGCUAGUUUGAAAAGUCAAAAUCAAAUCUAGAAAGUCUGAAGUAUAGAACAGAUUCCACACCUUUAAUUUCCUCAGCUUGGAAAAAAUUUUUGAAAGGAUCUAAGUGUCUUAUAAUCUCAUGUUUCUUUGAUGGUGGUGUCCAUGUCGUACCCCGGACAGUGCUCAGGAGCACUCUGAACUCCAGGCGACUCCCGUGACCCAGUAUCUCAGCUUGUUCUCACCAUAUUCUUGCAGCCUAUGGUAUUAGGGCAUUGCUGACAACCUCGGAGACUUCCGUUCCUGCAAAUGCCUACUCAUGCAAUGAGUUUUUAAACUUUACCUCGCAUAUUCAUAGGUAGACAGGCUGUGCUUCGUUGUUUUGUAUGAGCCUUUGUGAGGAUGGAGUGGUUCUAUUUGGAAGUGUCUUAAUUUUUAUUGCCUUGAAAGUUGAGGAAAGAGUGGAAGAUGAAGGACUGUAUCAUGUUACUCCUAGUCAUAGAAACCUUUUCGGUCUGAGUUACAGUACAAGUAUUUUAUUGAUAGUAUUGUUAUUCUUCUAUGGUGUGUGGUUUAACCCUGGCUGGCAACUAAGCCCCACCCA